rnacentral:misc_RNA from 1 species
GAUGAAGAACGUAGCGAAAUGCGAUAAGUAAUGUGAAUUGCAGAAUUCAGUGAAUCAUCGAAUCUUUGAACGCACAUUGCGCCCGCCAGUAUUCUGGCGGGCAUGCCUGUUCGAGCGUCAUUACAACCCUCAGGCCCCCGGGCCUGGCGUUGGGGAUCGGCGGAGCCCCCCGUGGGCACACGCCGUCCCCCAAAUACAGUGGCGGUCCCGCCGCAGCUUCCAUCGCGUAGUAGCUAACACCUCGCGACUGGAGAGCGGCGCGGCCACGCCGUAAAACACCCAACUCUUCUGAAGUUGACCUCGAAUCAGGUAAGAGUACCCGCUGAACUUAAGCAUAUCAAUAAGCGGAGGA